rnacentral:rRNA from 1 species
UACGUAGGGUGCGAGCGUUGAUCGGAAUUACUGGGCGUAAAGCGUGCGCAGGCGGUUUGUUAAGACAGAUGUGAAAUCCCCGGGCUUAACCUGGGAACUGCAUUUGUGACUGGCAAGCUAGAGUAUGGCAGAGGGGGGUAGAAUUCCACGUGUAGCAGUGAAAUGCGUAGAGAUGUGGAGGAAUACCGAUGGCGAAGGCAGCCCCCUGGGCCAAUACUGACGCUCAUGCACGAAAGCGUGGGGAGCAAACAGG